rnacentral:misc_RNA from 1 species
GCUUAUAAUAGUACUGGUUACAAAGAAUGAAGAUCUUAGCGAGUUCUUUUAGAAGAACAUACUCUUUUGCAGAUAGAGAACAGCAACAAAGUACAGUUUGAUGUAUUGACCUGGCUAGAGCAAGUGUUUUUUGCGCUGCUUCACAAUAUUGAACACUUGUAUCACCUCUGUUGUGACUACUUACAAGUCUCAAAUAGGAACUUCCACGAAAAACAAUCAAUGCCUAUCUCCAUUU